AGGCAGUGAUGUCAGUUUGUUGU
rnacentral:miRNA from 3 species